rnacentral:rRNA from 1 species
UACGAAGGUGGCAAGCGUUGUUCGGAUUUACUGGGCGUACAGGGAGCGUAGGCGGUUGGAUAAGCCCUCCGUGAAAUCUCCAGGCUUAACCUGGAAAGUGCAGAGGGGACUGUUCAGCUAGAGGAUGGGAGAGGAGCGCGGAAUUCCCGGUGUAGCGGUGAAAUGCGUAGAGAUCGGGAGGAAGGCCGGUGGUGUAGACGGCUCUCUGGACCGUAACUGACGCUGAGACACGAAAGCGUGGGUAGCAAACAGG